rnacentral:rRNA from 1 species
AGCAGCCGCGGUAAUUCCAGCUCCAAUAGCGUAUAUUAAAGUUGUUGCAGUUAAAAAGCUCGUAGUUGAAUUUCGGAAUCAAUAUAUCGGUCGUGCCUUGGUACGUACUGGUAUCAUUGGUUUCUCCUUUCUGACGAACCAUGAUGUCAUUAAUUUGGUGUUAUGGGAAGUUAGGACUGUUACUUUAGAAAAAUUAGAGUGUUUAAAGCAGGCUUUAGCUUGAAUACAUUAGCAUGGAAUAAUGAAAUAGGACGUUCGAACCUAUUUUGUUGGUUUCUAGGAUCAACGUAAUGAUUAAUAGGGAUAGUUGGGGGCAUUAGUAUUCAAUUGUCAGAGGUGAAAUUCUUGGAUUUAUUGAAGACUAACUACUGCGAAAGCAUUUGCCAAGGAUGUUUUCAUUAAUCAAGAACGAAAGUUAGGGGAUCGAAGACGAUCAGAUACCGUCGUAGUCUUAACCAUAAACUAUGCCGACUAGGGAUCGGAUGAUGUUAAUUUUUAAUGUACUCA